CCGCGACUCGCCCGGGCAGGGGGGUGGGUAGGUGGGGGGCCGAAAGAAGCAGCCCGCGGGCAGGUCGCGAACAGCAGCGCUGUUCUUCGCCUCAGUCAGACGCCAAGGAAAAGGCAGCUGCGGCGGCGGUCCUGCUAGCAGCCCAGAAGGGCUUGGGCGUGAGGGCGCUCCAGACCCAGCAUGUGGUAUACAUGGCUUAGCGGUGGUGAACAUCCCGGCCUCUCUCAGUGCUGGAAGACUGCCUGUUGGAAAACAAGAAGUACAUGGGGAGCUUGCUUCUGCAUCUCCAGGCGCCCUUCCAUCCGACNCUUCAGAACCUCAUGAAUCAUCUCUACUCUGAUUGCUGCUCUCAGUUACCNUGUUUCAGACCUCUGCAAAUAGCAAAGUAAGGAACCCAUUUCUUUUUCAUUCUGGAAAGACUUACAGAGGAAAUUCAGAAAGAGAUUCAUUCACCGUUUUCAUUAAAGGAGACUUACUGACAUCAGCCGGGCUCUUAAUUACAUUUUAUUUCCUUACCUCAGUUGUAAACUGCCCUGCAAUCUUUGGUAAGAGGCAGUGUAUAAAUCUAACACCAGCUGUUUUUCAUUGAAAUGUUAGCUAUUUUGGUGUGGACAUUUUCAUAUUUUGUGGCAAAGCAUGUGUACUGAUGUAGUCUCAGCAUGAAACCUUGG
rnacentral:lncRNA from 1 species